UCCCUCUUAGCUCAGUUGGUAGAGCGCGUCACUAGUAUAUCAGAGUGUUGAGUAUAUGACGAGGUCAGUCGUUCAAAUCGGCUAGCGGGAA